CAGCCGCCGCGGGAAAACGUAGGGUGCAAGCGUUAAUCGGAAUUACUGGGCGUAAAGCGUGCGCAGGCGGUUUUGUAAGACAGAGGUGGAAUCCCCGGGCUCAACCUGGGAACUGUCUUUGCGACUGCAAGGCUGGAGUGCGGCAGAGGGGGAUGGAAUUCCGCGUGUAGCAGUGAAAUGCGUAGAUAUGCGGAGGAACACCGAUGGCGAAGGCAAUCCCCUGGGCCUGCACUGACGCUCAUGCACGAAAGCGUGGGGAGCAAACAGGAUUAGAUACCCCUGUAGUCCCUGUCUCUUAUAC
rnacentral:rRNA from 1 species